rnacentral:rRNA from 1 species
AUGGCUAGCUUUCAGGUGGCCGACGCGUCGGAGUACCUGGCCAUCACCGGCUGGGGCAUCGACGACGUCAAGCUCGCCAAGAAGGCGUGGGUUUUUGUGGGGCAGCAGUGCAAGAAGUUCAGCAUCUCGCCGGUGAACUAUGAGUUCGAGGUGCACGCCAUGAGCGCCGAGAAGCUGCCCUUCAUACUCCCCGCCGUCUUCACCAUCGGCCCCAAGAUCACAGCCGCCGGGGGCGAGGAGUCGGACAGGAAGGACCUUCAGGCGCAGCUCCUCCUGUACUCCAAGCUCAUCGCGCCGCUGCACAGCUCGAGGAGCCACGUCCAGGAGCUCGUCAAGGGGAUCAUCGAGGGCGAGACCCGCGUGCUCGCCGCGGAGCUCACCAUGGAGGAGAUCUUCAAGGGUACCAAGACGUUCAAGGAGAAGGUGUUCAACCGGGUGCAGCUCGAGCUCAAUCAGUUCGGCCUGAUCAUCUACAACGCCAACGUGAAGCAGCUGGUGGACGUGCCGGGGCACGAGUACUUCUCCUACCUCGGCCAGAAGACGCAGCAGGACGCGGCGAACCAGGCCAAGGUGGACGUGGCGGAGGCCCGGAUGAAGGGAGAGGUGGGAGCCAAGGAGAGGGAGGGGCUGACGCGGCAGAACGCGGCAAAGGUGGACGCGGAGACCAAGGUGCUGUCGGUGCGGCAGCAGGGCCAAGGGCUCAAGGAGGAGGCCAAGGUGAAGGCCGAGGUGCAGGUGUUCGAGAAUGAAAGGGCGGCGGAGAUCGCCGCGGCCAAGGCCGAGCUUGCCAUGAAGAAGGCCGGGUGGGACAAGCAGGCCGAGGUCGAGGCGGCCAAGGCCGUCGCCAUCCGCGAGGCCGAGCUCCAGAUGGAGGUUGAGCGCAAGAACGCCAUGCGCCAGACCGAGAAGCUCAAGGCCGAGCAGCUCAGCAAGGCAACCGUGCACUACGAUACACAGGUUCAAGAAUCAAAUGCACAACUCUAUAGCAGGCAGAACAGAAGGCGGCGGAGGCAAAGCUGUUUGAGCAGAUGA